rnacentral:rRNA from 1 species
GCGGCAACAGCUCAAAUUUGAAAUCUGGCCCCCGGGUCCGAGUUGUAAUUUGUAGAGGAUGCUUUUGGUGAGGUACCUUCCGAGUUCCCUGGAACGGGACGCCAUAGAGGGUGAGAGCCCCGUCUGGUCGGAUACCGAUCCUCUGUAAAGCUCCUUCGACGAGUCGAGUAGUUUGGGAAUGCUGCUCUAAAUGGGAGGUAUAUGUCUUCUAAAGCUAAAUAUAGGCCAGAGACCGAUAGCGCACAAGUAGAGUGAUCGAAAGAUGAAAAGCACUUUGAAAAGAGGGUUAAACAGUACGUGAAAUUGUUGAAAGGGAAGCGCUUGUGACCAGACUUGGGCCCGGUUAAUCAUCCAGCGUUCUCGCUGGUGCACUUGGCCGGCCCAGGCCAGCAUCAGUUCGGCGUGGGGGAUAAAGGCGGCGGGAAUGUGGCUCCUCCGGGAGUGUUAUAGCCCACCGUGUAAUACCCUGUGCUGGACUGAG